rnacentral:rRNA from 1 species
GACGUAGGGUGCGAGCGUUGUCCGGAUUUAUUGGGCGUAAAGAGCUCGUAGGCGGCUCGUCGCGUCAGCUGUGAAAUCCCGUGGCUUAACUGCGGGUCUGCAGCUGAUACGGGCGGGCUAGAGUUCGGUAGGGGAGAGUGGAAUUCCCGGUGUAGCGGUGAAAUGCGCAGAUAUCGGGAAGAACACCGGUGGCGAAGGCGGUUCUCUGGGCCUGACUGACGCUGAGGAGCGAAAGCGUGGGGAGCGAACAGGAUUAGA